rnacentral:RNase_P_RNA from 1 species
CCAGGAGGCCGGGUGGCCGCCCUUCCGUUUUGCGGGAGGGAGGAACGUCCGAGCUCCACCGGGCAGGGUGCCGGGUAACACCCGGGCGGGGCGACCCGACGGAAAGUGCCACAGAAACAUACCGCCCCGGGUCGAGUGGGGCCGCAAGGCCCUCCCAAACUCCUCGGAACCGUCGAGGUGGCCUGGGGCAAGGGUGAAAUGGUGCGGUAAGAGCGCACCGGUCCUUCCGGUAACGGAAGGAGCUGGGCAAACCCCACCCGGAGCAAGGCCAAAUAGGAGGACACGCCUCCCGCCUCAGGCGGGGGGGGCAGGGGCGCCCGGCCCCGUCCUCGGGUAGGCCGCUCGAGCCCGCCGGUAACGUCGGGCCCAGAUAGAUGGCCACCGUCCGCCUCAGGCCUGCCCUGAGCGUAGCCGAAGGGCGGAUACAGAACUCGGCGUAUAGGCCGCCUGGCUCC